rnacentral:rRNA from 1 species
GUGGGGAAUUUUGGACAAUGGGCGAAAGCCUGAUCCAGCCAUGCCGCGUGAGUGAUGAAGGCCUUAGGGUUGUAAAGCUCUUUCAGUAGGGAAGAUAAUGACGGUACCUACAGAAGAAGCCCCGGCUAACUUCGUGCCAGCAGCCGCGGUAAUACGAAGGGGGCUAGCGUUGUUCGGAUUUACUGGGCGUAAAGCGCACGUAGGCGGAUUGGUCAGUUAGAGGUGAAAUCCUGGAGCUCAACUCCAGAACUGCCUUUAAUACUGCCAGUCUAGAGUCCAGAAGAGGUGAGUGGAACUCCUAGUGUAGAGGUGGAAUUCGUAGAUAUUAGGAAGAACACCAGUGGCGAAGGCGGCUCACUGGUCUGGUACUGACGCUGAGGUGCGAAAGCGUGGGGAGCAAACAGGAUUAGAUACCCUUGUAGUCC